AGGAGGAUUGGGGAGGCCCAAAAUGUCUGUCUGCUCAAACGGUAUAAUGUGGAUACGAGCACAGAAAAACAGAAAAGAAUGACUUUCAAUAGAGGUAUUGUCAGUAACUGAAAAUAUUGGCCAGCAGUGGCACCACUCAAACCUUGGCUACAUUCAGAGGAAUGUCUCCCAUUUUUCCUUACAAAUGGAACCACUUCUUGCGAUGCAGAUCUGUCCUGUCUCUAAAGCUUUGCUUACACAUCCCGAAUGUAUUACUCUAACUCAGCCAAAGGUCCUGAAAUUUUGCUUGAAUUAAACUCUUUGAUUUCAGCUACCAAAAUCUUACUUCCAUC